GACGAACGCUGGCGGCGUGCUUAACACAUGCAAGUCGAACGGCAAGGCCCUGCUUUUGUGGGGUGCUCGAGUGGCGAACGGGUGAGUAACACGUGAGAAACCUGCCCUUGACUUUGGGAUAACUUCAGGGAACUGGGGCUAAUACCGGAUAGGAGCUCCUGCUGCCUGGUGGGGGUUGGAAAGUUUCGGCUGUUGGAGAUGGACUCGCGGCUUAUCAGCUUGUUGGUGGGGUAGUGGCUUACCAAGGCUUUGACGGGUAGCCGGCCUGGGAGGGUGACCGGCCUCAUUGCGACUGAGGUACGGCCCAGACUCCUACGGGAGGCAGCAGUGGGAAAUAUGGCACAAUGGGCGGAAGCGUGAUGCGGCAACGCCGCGUGCGGGAUGACGGCCUUCGGGUGGUAAACCGCUGUCUCCGGUGACGAAGCGUGAGUGACGGUAAUGGGUAAAGAAGCACCGGCUAACUACGUG
rnacentral:rRNA from 1 species